CCGGCGAGUUCGUGCACGCCGUUAGCUUGAGAGUUUCCUGCGUUUUCUGUGUUCUUUGUGUGCUUCGCUGUGACAUCUUUGGAAUAUUCCUGCGUGUUGCUCGCUUUUUAUGGACUUGUUGCCUCGAAGAUCGCCAUGAUCGCCUCCGACUCAGCGACAUCAAGGAUUCAAAAUGAGCUGGGAGAGGCCCCAGCUGGAACGGUUCACAUAGGUUGAAGGAGUGCACAUUGAGAAGGUUAUCCUGGCACAGUUUACCAUGGCCUGCCAUGGUGGACCAGGAAAGUUUGCAAGGGCCUUGCUUCACCAUGUGUUCACAGAGGAGGAGCUCAUGGGCCAUUUGGGCUUUGGAAAUAACAGCAAGGGUCAAAAAAGGCUCUUGAC
rnacentral:lncRNA from 1 species